rnacentral:rRNA from 1 species
UACAGAGGUCUCAAGCGUUGUUCGGAUUCAUUGGGCGUAAAGGGUGCGUAGGCGGCGCGGUAAGUCGGGUGUGAAAUCUUGGAGCUUAACUCCGAAACUGCAUUCGAUACUGCCGUGCUUGAGGACUGGAGAGGAGACUGGAAUUUACGGUGUAGCGGUGAAAUGCGUAGAGAUCAUGAGGAAGACCAGUGGCGAAGGCGGGUCUCGUGGACAGUUCCUGACACUGAGACACGAAGGCCAGGGGAGCAAACGGG